rnacentral:rRNA from 1 species
CCUACGGGAGGCUGCAGUGGGGAAUAUUGCACAAUGGGCGCAAGCCGGAUGCAGCCAUGCCGCGUGUGUGAAGAAGGCCUUCGGGUUGUAAAGCACUUUCAGCGGGGAGGAAGGCGGUGAGGUUAAUAACCUCAUCGAUUGACGUUACCCGCAGAAGAAGCACCGGCUAACUCCGUGCCAGCAGCCGCGGUAAUACGGAGGGUGCAAGCGUUAAUCGGAAUUACUGGGCGUAAAGCGCACGCAGGCGGUCUGUCAAGUCGGAUGUGAAAUCCCCGGGCUCAACCUGGGAACUGCAUUCGAAACUGGCAGGCUAGAGUCUUGUAGAGGGGGGUAGAAUUCCAGGUGUAGCGGUGAAAUGCGUAGAGAUCUGGAGGAAUACCGGUGGCGAAGGCGGCCCCCUGGACAAAGACUGACGCUCAGGUGCGAAAGCGUGGGGAGCAAACAGGAUUAGAUACCCUAGUAGUC